UCAGAAAACAUACAUACACACUCACCAAGGAAGUAUUUGCAAUUGCAAUUGCAUCGUCUUAAUGGCCAACCGCACUGGCCUUGCUCAUGCAGCAACGCUACUGUCGUUGUUGCUUCUCAUGUGCUUUGCUAUCCAUGUACAUUGCCGAAUCAUGGAAGACAAAGUCAGCAAGAAGAUUCAUUUGCCACAUGGAUUAUGCGCGCAUAGGGGCUGGAAUUGCCGCACUGCAUUCCAUUGCGACUGUUGUUUACUAAGCAACAUCUGCUAUACUUCAAUGGACUUAUGCAUGGAAGCGUGCAAAUAAAAUACAUAUUCUUCUUCAGCCACGUUGGCACGCCGGCCCAUCCUCCUUUGUCUUCCCAUAUACACUUUGAUCAGCUUUGGGCCAGCUCCAAGUGAUCCCGCUAAUGCGCCGGCUGAUGCGCAAUUCGGAAAUAAAGACACUGUUAUUAUUUAUUUAUUUAUUUGAAGUUCAACUGCUCGCCGUUAUCAUCAUAUGAAUAGUCUUGGUUUUGUUGGAGUCCUUUUCACUAGAACUAGUCGAUCGUCUCUUCACGGAAAAAAAGAGAGCCAGUAGAUCGUCUUCAGAGGCAUUACCAGUUUGGCAUCUGACAAUCAGCAGGAGUCUAUAUGCAAUAGUUUUCAUUUUGUUUUCAGAGGCAUUGCCAGUUUCAAGGGGGUCUAGGUUUAAGGUUCUGUUUGGUUCUCAGCCUAAGGUUGUAAUACCUAACCUUAGUCAUACCGCAACAUUUUAGGCAUGUGUUUGGUUCAUUGCCACACUUAUGGCUUGCCACAUUUUUCUAGUUAUAUGGUCUAUAUGUCAUAGGCUUAGUUUUUUGCCAAAUCCUGGCACACUUGUGGUUGCCAUUUUGUUAGCCACACUUUUUAUGGCAGCCACACUUUUCCUAAAAUUAGUGAGCCAAAGUUAAGGGCUGUUUGGUUCCCAGCCUAAGCGUGCCACGCCUAAGAUGAGGCGUGCCACAGCCCCUUAGACAAGUGUUUGGUUCUGGACAAAAGUUAGGCUCGCCACAACGCCAAGGGUCCCCUGCCGCUGAAAUUUCGCCAAAAAGUGUGGCGCUUGUUUCCCCCACCACACUCACCGCGGCGCGCCAACUUAGCGACAAAAUUCCUCGCGAACUGAUAAGUCGCCGCUUCCCUGUCCGUCCUCGCUCCAAAAAUCCCCCACCCCUUCAGUCUCGACCCCAUGGCUGAGAGCCCUUCUCUCUCCCCUUACAGAUCCAGUUGAGGACGAGCUUGCCGCCGCACUCGAUCUGCUCCUGCCCGAUCUGGGCGUCCUUGAUUUUUUCAAGAGAAAAAUAUCAGCUUUCUUCCGUGAUUUGUGGGAUUUCCCGUUGCUUGUUCCUGUCCUUGUUGCAUCCAGACUAGGAACUUCCAUCUCAUAGUGAAAGGUCAACUAUUUGUUAAGAGGAAAGAUGGACCAAAGAACAUUAUGCUUACAGUAUUACAUGCAUUAUUAUCACAACUACACGUGGAGGAGAAAAUUGCUUGCUGCCAUUAUUGUGUAUUUAGGGAUGUACUGGUACAAGAUUAAUAUCCGAAAAAGGAAGAGAAAAUCUAUAACUUAUGCUCCCAUGUUCGAACGAGAUGUUGAAAGGAUGUGACGCCUGAACCGUAUGUAUUAUGGAACUGAGGCUAAUUGCAUAAGUGAGCUGUGCAUGCGGAAAUUUGUUUUUCACAAAUUGUGUGCCAACCUGAGACAUCGUGGUCUACUGGUAGACACAUUCCAUGUAACUCUGGAGGAGCAAGUUGCCAUGUUCAUCCAUGUUGUGGGUCAUAACUGGAAAAAUAUAUCGAUUGGUUUCGAGUUUUAUCGACCAGGCGAGACUGAUAGUAGGUACUUCAAUGCUG